UACGUAGGCAGCAAGCGUUGUUCGGAAUUACUGGGCGUAAAGAGUGUGUAGGCGGUGUUCUAAGUUUGUCGUGAAAUCUCCCCGGCUUAACUGGGAGGGUGCGGCGAAAACUGGAAUGCUAGAGGAUGGGAGAGGUAAGCGGAAUUCCUGGUGUAGCGGUGAAAUGCGUAGAUAUCAGGAGGAACACCUGUGGUGUAAACAGCUUACUGGACCAUUUCUGACGCUGAGACACGAAAGCGUGGGUAGCAAACAGG
rnacentral:rRNA from 1 species